rnacentral:rRNA from 1 species
GUGGGGAAUAUUGGACAAUGGGCGAAAGCCUGAUCCAGCCAUGCCGCGUGUGUGAAGAAGGUCUUCGGAUUGUAAAGCACUUUAAGUUGGGAGGAAGGGCAGUAAGUUAAUACCUUGCUGUUUUGACGUUACCGACAGAAUAAGCACCGGCUAACUUCGUGCCAGCAGCCGCGGUAAUACGAAGGGUGCAAGCGUUAAUCGGAAUUACUGGGCGUAAAGCGCGCGUAGGUGGUUUUGUAAGUUGGAGGUGAAAUCCCCGGGCUCAACCUGGGAACUGCCUACAAAACUGCAUGACUAGAGUACGGUAGAGGGUAGUGGAAUUUCCUGUGUAGCGGUGAAAUGCGUAGAUAUAGGAAGGAACACCAGUGGCGAAGGCGACUACCUGGACUGAUACUGACACUGAGGUGCGAAAGCGUGGGGAGCAAACAGGAUUAGAAACCCCGGUAGUCC